rnacentral:rRNA from 1 species
GUCCAGACUCCUACGGGAGGCAGCAGUGGGGAAUAUUGCACAAUGGGGGAAACCCUGAUGCAGCAACGCCGCGUGAAGGAAGACGGUUUUCGGAUUGUAAACUUCUGUUCUUAGUGAAGAAGAAUGACGGUAGCUAAGGAGCAAGCCACGGCUAACUACGUGCCAGCAGCCGCGGUAAUACGUAGGGGGCAAGCGUUAUCCGGAUUUACUGGGUGUAAAGGGGGCGCAGACGGCGAUGCAAGCCAGGAGUGAAAGACCGGGGGCCAACCCCGGGACUGCUCUUGGAACUGCGUGGCUGGAGUGCAGGAGGGGCAGGCGGAAUUCCUGGUGUAGCGGUGAAAUGCGUAGAUAUCAGGAGGAACACCGGUGGCGAAGGCGGCCUGCUGGACUGCAACUGACGUUGAGGCCCGAAAGCGUGGGGAGCAAACAGGAUUAGAGACCCGCGUAAAC